GAUGAACGCUGGCGGCGUGCCUAAUACAUGCAAGUCGAGCGAACAGAUGAGGAGCUUGCUCCUCUGACGUUAGCGGCGGACGGGUGAGUAACACGUGGAUAACCUACCUAUAAGACUGGGAUAACUUCGGGAAACCGGCGCUAAUACCGGAUAAUAUAUUGAACCGCAUGGUUCGAUAGUGAAAGACGGCUUUGCUGUCACUUAUAGAUGGAUCCGCGCCGCAUUAGCUAGUUGGUAAGGUAACGGCUUACCAAGGCGACGAUGCGUAACCGAGCUGAGAGGGUGAUCGGCCACACUGGAACGGAGACACGGUCCAGACUCCUACGGGAGGCAGCAGUAGGGAAUCUUCCGCAAUGGGCGAAAGCCUGACGGAGCAACGCCGCGUGAGUGAUGAAGGUCUUCGGAUCGUAAAACUCUGUUAUGAGGGAAGAACAAAUGUGUAAGUAACUAUGCACGUCUUGACGGUACCUAAUCAGAAAGCCACGGCUAACUACGUG
rnacentral:rRNA from 1 species